rnacentral:lncRNA from 1 species
CAUCUUGACAAGACUAUCUACAAAUGUAUUACCUUCUCGGGGAAUAUGUUGGAUCUUCUACUGCUUUAUCGUCAACAGGGCUUGACGUAUUCUUCUAACUAGAGUAGAAUUAGAGAUUCCAACUGAACCAUCUUGAAUGGUCGUAGCUACUUCAAGACUAUCCGUUUGAAUUAAGAUCCUUUUGACUCUCCUAUCUGAAAUAAGCUUCAACUGAUCUAAAAUACCUCAAAGCUCUGCUUCUGUCACUGUACAAUUUCCUAAGUAUCUGUAAAACCCAAUGAUCUAUUUACCAUUCUAGUCACGCACUAAUCCCCAGCUGUAGCAAAACCUUCAUCCUGCCUAACUAAACCAUCCGUAUU